GACAGAGGUGCCGAGCGUUAGGCGGAAUCACUGGGCUUAAAGCGCGUGUAGGUGGCGGCCUAAGUACCUUGUAAAAUCCUGCGGCUCAACCGCAGAACUGCUUGGUAUACUGGGUCGCUUGAGACAUUCAGGGGCAACUGGAACAAGCGGUGGAGCGGUGAAAUGCGUAGAUAUCUGGGAGGAACACCGGUGGCGAAGGCGGCAUCCUGGACCGACAUUGACGCUGAGGCGCGAAAGCCAGGGGAGCAAACGGG
rnacentral:rRNA from 1 species